UACGUAGGAUUCAAGCGUUGUCCGGAUUUAUUGGGUUUAAAGGGGGCGUAGGCGUCGUAUUAAGUUAGUGGUGAAAACGUUCGGCUUAACCGGAUACCCGCCAUUGAUACUGAUAGACUUGAGUGCGACAGAGGGUGUUGGAAUGUGUGGUGUAGCGGUGAAAUGCUUAGAGAUCACGCAGAACACCAAUUGCGAAGGCAGAUGCCUAUGUCGUAACUGACGAUGAGGCACGAAAGCGUGGGGAGCAAACAGG
rnacentral:rRNA from 1 species